rnacentral:piRNA from 1 species
GACAUUUGUGAUAGCUAAAGAAACUCCCUUU